rnacentral:rRNA from 1 species
UUUUUUUGGAACAUUAGAGGGUUGAAUGGCCCCAUUAAAAUUAACAAACUGAAAGAGCUCAUUAGAGCCAAUAGUCCUGAUUUUAUUUGUAUUUCUGAGACCAAGAAAGAAGAAUUUACUCUUCUUCAACUUGAAGCGUUUGACCCCAGAUCUGAUUUCCAAUGGAAAUGGCUCCCUGCAAUUAACACUGCUGGAGGGGUUUUGAUUGGAUGUAAGGUAGAUCUAUUUGACUUAGUCCAAUGUGACCUACACAAAUUCAGUAUUUCUUGCUUGCUUAAAAACAAACAGGAUCUCUCUAUUUGGAGACUUAUUACUGUUUAUGGCUCUGCCUAUGACCAGUUUAAAGUGGAUUUCAUUAAUGAACUCCACACCCUAUUGACUGACUGGUCAGGGCCCACCCUGGUGGGGGUGAUUUUAAUCUUAUUAGAGAGGCUAGUGAUAAAAACACUGGUGUUAUUAAUCAACACUGGGCUCAAAAUGGAUCUCUUUAAUGACUGGAUUAAUAAAUUUGGCUUAUUAGAGCUCUAA